GAUCAACUGCGUUAGAUGAGCACUGAGCGCUGUCGCAAAGCCGAAGGCGCGUUCAGCCCUUCACUACUCUUCGGACUGGAGCAAUGGAUCUUAGAAAAAAGGGGGCUCGAGGAGGGACAGCCCACAGAGGAUGGGAGUGACGUGUCUAACCAACCCCCCCAGGCUCCUUCUCUGACCACCCGCCUCUCGGAUGCAGCUGCGAAGGCCCUGUGACGUGCGGACCGUGCCGGAGGUGACGGGGUCAGGGAAAGUCUCGAGCUGCACUGGGGAGGGGGUUACGCGCCCUUCAGUUUGGAUCUCUAGGGAGUUUUGGGGGCAGUCCUGUUUUCUAAGGAAAAACACGUUCUAGGCAACUUUUUUUAUUUUCACUCAAGAUAAACAUUUUUUUUUCCCCAAAUAAAGAUGGUAAACUUCAUGACAUUUUUAAUCAAGUAAAACACAAUGCCAAGCUCCCAUCUUCAUUAUUUUCACAUUCUCCCGUAAUGCGAUAAUACGCUAUAUGUGUCAUUAAAAUUUAGAAACAUGUCUGAACUUCAAAAUAUUAACUGGAAUUUUUAGUCUGUGAUAAUGUGUUUUAGUUGCACUUCAAUUGCCUGUUUCGGUACUUAAAAGCAUGAAAU
rnacentral:lncRNA from 1 species